rnacentral:rRNA from 1 species
UACGUAGGGUGCAAGCGUUGUCCGGAAUUAUUGGGCGUAAAGAGCUUGUAGGCGGUUUGUCGCGUCUGCUGUGAAAUUUCGGGGCUCAACCCCGAACUUGCAGUGGGUACGGGCAGACUAGAGUGUGGUAGGGGAGACUGGAAUUCCUGGUGUAGCGGUGAAAUGCGCAGAUAUCAGGAGGAACACCGAUGGCGAAGGCAGGUCUCUGGGCCACUACUGACGCUGAGAAGCGAAAGCAUGGGGGAGC